rnacentral:rRNA from 1 species
GACGAACGCUGGCGGCGUGCUUAACACAUGCAAGUCGAACGGUGACGCACCUUCGGGUGCUGAUCAGUGGCGAACGGGUGAGUAACACGUGGGCAACCUGCCCCUGACUCUGGGAUAACUCCUCGAAAGAGGUGCUAAUACCGGAUAUCACCUCCCUCGGCAUCGGGGGAGGUUGAAAGUUUUUCGGUCAGGGAUGGGCCCGCGGCCUAUCAGCUAGUUGGUGGGGUAACGGCCCACCAAGGCGACGACGGGUAGCCGGCCUGAGCGGGCGACCGGCCACACUGGGACUGAGAAACGGCCCAGACUCCUACGGGAGGCAGCAGUGGGGAAUAUUGCGCAAUGGGCGAAAGCCUGACGCAGCAACGCCGCGUGAGGGAUGACGGCCUUCGGGUUGUAAACCUCUUUCAGCGGGGACGAAGCGAAGGUGACUGUACCCGCAGAAGAAGCGCCGGCUAACUACGUGCCAGCCGCCGCCGUAAAAC